rnacentral:rRNA from 1 species
CCCUGGUAUAUGAAAUAUAUGAGUGAUUAGUAUAUUUUGAAAAUUAAUAAAUUUGGUGGUUGAUUUAAUUUUUAGAGGAGCUUGUUUUAAUUAUUAAGAAUUUACUCUAUAUAUUUAAAGUUAAUAAAUUUUGUUUAUUCAUCUCCGUAUUAAGUAUUUUAAUAUUAGGUUGAAAAUAAUUAUUUUUAAUUACAGGUCAAGAUGUAGCAAUAUUAACAAUAAUAAAUUAGCUACAUUUAUAGAAUAAAUUUGUUGGAUUUAUUUCAUGAAAAAAAUAAUGAAAUUGAAUUUAGCUGUAAUAAAAGAAAGAGGGGCUAAUAAGCUAUUAUGAAAUUGAUAAUCAGUAUA